GAAUGAAGCUGUACUCAUUUAAUAUUAAUCAAACACUUUUACUGUCGUGUUAUCACUUCUAAAUGUAAAUAUAGUUAACAGCAGGGAGCGACUGUUUUAAACUAUGUAAUGAUAAUAAAUGUAAUUUCUAUUUUUCAAAAAUUAAUAGUUCGAUUCUACGUUGUAUGUUAUAUCUAAAUUUUGUUUUUUAUAAUAAAUCGUGAAUUGUUAUCACUUA